GCCUGUUGUCAGCAGAAGUUUCACCAUCUCAGGAUCCUUGUUGGUGCUUCUCAUCAUAUUCAUAGUUCUGGGCUUCACCCACUUCCUUGUGGUCCUGAUCCGUGCCCUGUUCAGACAUUACUCUACCAGGGCAAAUCGGUCUAUAUAACUGUCCGCCUCGGACCUGGAGGAUAAAACCGGACAGGCAAGGAGACCCUGUGGGACCAUCAGAGAGGCUGCAAAGAUGCCCCAUUGCAGCAUCGCCAGUGACAGAGAGAUGGAACCACAGCGCAUGUCGGGUGAAUGUCAUGGUUAGAAACUUUGCUGGGCAACGAUACUCACUAGCGUGCCAAAUGUUCACAACUUGAUGCCUAGUUAGAAACGCACAAUACAGACCUGCGUCUGAUAGGACCAUGUUGUGAAAAGUAUAGAUUAGUUAAUUGAUGUAGGUACAAUAUUACAGUAUGUGUACACACACACACAUAUGCUAUAUAUAUCCAGUGAGAUGGUUGGAUGGCAUCGUGGACUCAAUGGACA